rnacentral:lncRNA from 10 species
CUUUAUUGAAAUAUAAUUCACAUGACAUAAAAUUCAACUUUUCAAAGUGUACAGUUCCGUGGGUUUUAGUAUAGAGUUAUGCAUCACCACGAUCUAAUUCUAGAACAUUUUCAUCCCUCCACAAGAAACUCUGAGCUCACUAGCAGUCACUGCCCACCAUUCCCCAUUCUACCCAGCCCCUGGCAAUCAUUAAUCUACUUUCUGUCUAUAUGGAUUUGUUUAUUCUGGACAUUUCAUAUAAAUGGAAUCAGUCAUACAAUAUGUGGCCCUCUGUGUCUGGGUUCUUUCACUUAGCAGUAAGUUUUUCAAGGUUAACCCAUUUUGUAGUAUGUAUCAGAACUUCAUUUCUUUUUAUAACCGAAUAAUAUUCCAUCAUAUGGACACACCACAGUUUGUUUAUCUGGUUAUCACUUUGUGGGAAUUUGAGUUGUUUCUACCUUUUGCCUAUCAUGAGUAAUGCUGCCAAGAACAUUGGUGUACAUUUUGUGUGCACAUAUGCUUUCAUAGGAGUGGAAUUGCUGGGUCAUAUGGUAAUAACUUUAUGAUUAACAGUUUGAGGAACUGUCUGGAACUAAUGUUUAAGAGUCCUGGCUGUCCUUGAGCUACUUCAGUAUCCUCCACAUGAAUAUAUGAAUUCCUUUUUUUCCUUCUUCUUUCAUCGACUUGAAUUGAUUUUAGUAACAUUAUUUGCAACCUCAUGAGCCUUAACAAAGUCACCCACUUGUAUUACUUCUGGUUUAGACUUUCCCGAUUCCUCAGUCUCCUUUAUUUUGGCUCCAUUUUUGCUUGCCUAUUUGAUAAUGCUUUAGUUUGGCUUUAUUUUGGCUGCAAGUAUCAGAUACUCAUUCCAGUUAGCUCAAGUAUAAGAACAUUCAGAAAAAUACAUGAUAAGAUAAUGGAAGCUUUUGGAAACCCAAGAACAAAAACCAUAAAGGGCUAGCUUCAGAGAAACUAGUGCUAAAAGCUAGUUCUCAAUUUGAGGUGGCUGUACACUUUACCAAUUACAAAUUUGUAAGUCUUCACUGUAUUUCAUCAGUAUAGCUAUAGUUCAGCCAUACUCAUUUCUGUCCUGCUAUGAACUGGUAAUUUCUCUACUUUCAUGCCAUUCUUCUGAGAGAGAAGCUCUGAUGGGUCCAAUGUAUCUUUUCAUAUCUGAUUACAGGUCAUGGGAAUCUAGCCAAUCUAUGGUUUGGUUGCUCUUAAAUCAGGUGCCCACCCUGAUCCAAUCAUUCAUGAGUCCAGAGAGCUAGAUCUCAUGGUACAAAACAUGGCUACUGAGUCUACUUCUUUAACAGGGGCCAGGAGGGCAUGGUGAUUGAUUUUUUUUGUGUGUGAUUGAUUGAUAUUUUGUUUUGUUUUGUAUUUUUGAGAGACGGAAUUUCGCUCUGUCGCCCAGGCUAGAGUAGAGUGGAGUGAUCUCGGCUUACUGCAACCUCUGCCUCCCGGGUUCAAGCGAUUCUCCUGCCUCAGUGUCCCAAAUAGCUGGGACUACAGGCUGUCUGCUGCCCUGCAUUGUGAGUUUGCUCAGUGGGCCAGCGUGGCACAGAAGCACAGUUGAGAGACCAGACCCGGGGCCUCUGGAGGAACGUGCUGGUAUCAUCGCUGAAGAGCUUUCUCAAUGCUGGCUGGCUGUUGUCAGGAGCAGUCCUUAGACAGGCUCGCUUCUGGUAGUUCAAAGAAUCAGUGCCCUCUCUAGCCUUGGGAGUCCUAAUGAGCUAUAAUCACAGAGACGCCAGACUAGUCAAAAUUGGAAGAAAGAGCUAUAAUCACAGGAAAAGAACUCUCUCCACAAUUUGAAGUAUCCCAGAAAAAGCAGCAGCAAUGAGGACAGACUUCAAGACAAGCAGAGAGGAGCAGCCAUGGCGGGGCCUGCAGUGGCUACAGGGGGCCUCUAUAGCGUGAAAUGACAUCAGAAAAGGACCUGAGUGGCCCAAGAAAGGGAGGACGGAAAGUCAAGGAGGAAAGUAAGCAGGAGUUGAAUUUAGGAGUAAAUGCUACGGUGAUUAUGACUCACAGCCUCAUGGUCCUCAAGGCUGGAGUGGCGUUGGAGAAACCAGGUCAUAGUUGUAUAACCAAGGUACUCUGCAGGAUGGACUAUGGAGCUGCCUCCUGCAGCCACAGGUGAUCAAAAUGAGGUCUGUGUGACGGAGCCUGCAGCGAGGCAAGAUGGCUGCCUCAAACAAGUCCAUAUUUCAUCUCUCCUCCUAACCUCCUGCCUGCCAAAGCUCUGGCAGGGAACUCAUUACAACAAAGCAUGCAUGCACCCUAAUUACCUGUCAUACUUCUCUGUUGCUGGACCAGACCCUAUAAGAGAAUUCCAAAGAAUUUAUUUUUAUGGGAACAAAAUGCAGUAAUUGAUGUUGCAAUCCUGCCCAAAUCACUGAACAGAUCCUUUAACAUCCAAAUUCCCUAAAACAGCUUUGACUUACUACACACUUCACAUGCCAGCUAGUGUUUGAAGUGCGUGUAGCCGCCCCCAUGAAGCCCUUUCUUACUGUAAGUGCUCAAGAACAAAGAUAUUUCUUAAACUUCCUUUGAUUCUCAUAAAAUAAAAAUAGCCAUUACAUAAUAAAGCACAAAGCUCCAUGGGUUAAGAAGUCCCUGAUGUUUUUCCUGCCUUCGGUCAUUUUCUUUGUUUAAAGCAUUUAGAAACAGUGAAUGUUCA